UUAAGGACAGACCCUGGAACAGGUGCAGGGUUUUAAGGACAGACCCUGGAACAGGUCUUUGAGUGCAGGGUUUUAAGGACAGACCCUGGAACAGGUGCAGGGUUUUAAGGACAGACCCUGGAACAGGUGCAGGGUUUUAAGGACAGACCCUGGAACAGGUGCAGGGUUUUAAGGACAGACCCUGGAACAGGUGCAGGGUUUUAAGGACAGACCCUGGAACAGGUGCAGGGUUUUAAGGACAGACCCUGGAACAGGUGCAGGGUGAGCAGUGGACAGACUAGUUUAUCUCCUGCUGGGACUGCUGUUUAUGUAUUAAACUACUAAAGACCAUUUCAAGAGAAUGAGGCUUUCCCUUUUCUACGAACUGCUCAUUGGUCAGUGUUUUCUAGAGGAGUCGGUCCUUCUGUAGGGUCAGUCCUUCUGUAGGGUCAGUCCUACUGUAGGGUCAGUCCUACUGUAGGGUCAGUGUUACUCUAGGGCCAGUCCUACUGUAGGGUCAGUCCUUCUAAAGGGUCAGUCCUACUGUAGGGUCAGUCCUACUGUAGGGUCAGUCCUUCUGUAGGGUCAGUCCUACUGUAGGGUCAGUCCUUCUGAAGGGUCAGUCCUACUGUAGGGUCAGUCCUACUGUAGGGUCAGUCCUUCUGAAGGGUCAGUCCUACUGUAGGGUCAGUCCUACUGUAGGGUCAGUCCUACUGUAGGGUCAUAGAUACUGUAGGGUCAUAGAUACUGUAGGGUCAGUCCUACUGUAGGGUCAGUCCUACUGUAGGGUCUGUCCUACUGUAGGGUCGGUGUUACUGUAGGGUCGGUGUUACUGUAGGGUCGGUGUUACUGUAGGGUCGGUGUUACUGUAGGGUCGGUGUUACUGUAGGGUCGGUGUUACUGUAGGGUCAGUCCUACUGUAGGUUCAUAGUUACUGUAGGGUCAGUCCUACUGUAGGGUCAGUGUUACUCUAGGGCCAGUCCUACUGUAGGGUCAGUCCUUCUGAAGGGUCAGUGUUACUCUAGGGCCAGUUCUACUGUAGGGUCAUAGAUACUGUAGGGUCAGUCCUACUGUAGGGUCAGUGUUACUGUAGGGUCAGUCCUACUGUAGGGUCAUAGAUACUGUAGGGUCAUAGAUACUGUAGGGUCAGUCCUACAGUAGGGUCAGUGUUACUGUAGGGUCAGUGUUACUGUAGGGUCAGUCCUACUGUAGGGUCAGUCCUACUGUAGGGUCAGUCCUACUGUAGGGUCAGUCCUACUGUAGGGUCAGUGUUACUGUAGGGUCAUAGACACUGUAGUGUCGGUCCUACUGUAGGGUCAGUCCUACUGUAGGGUCAGUCCUACUGUAGGGUCAGUGGUACUGUAGGGUCAGUCCUACUGUAGGGUCAGUCCUACUGUAGGGUCAGUCCUACUGUAGUGUCGGUCCUACUGUAGGGUCGGUGUUACUGUAGUCAGUUACUGUAGGGUCAGUAGGGUCAGUCCUACUGUAGGGUCGGUUCUACUGUAGGGUCGGUCCUACUGUAGGGUCGGUUCUACUGUAGGGUCGGUUCUACUGUAGGGUCGGUCCUACUGUAGGGUCAGUGUUACUGUAGGGUCGGUCCUACUGUAGGGUCAGUCCUACUGUAGGGUCAGUAGGGUCAGUCAUGCUGUAGGGUCAGUCAUGCUGUAGGGUCGGUCCUACUGUAGGGUCAGUAGGGUCAGUCCUACUGUAGGGUCAGUAGGGUCAGUCAUGCUGUAGGGUCAGUAGGGUCAGUCAUGCUGUAGGGUCAGUCAUGCUGUAGGGUCAGUAGGGUCAGUCCUACUGUAGGGUCAGUAGGGUCAGUCAUGCUGUAGGGUCAGUCCUGCUGUAGGGUCAGUCCUGCUGUAGGGUCAGUCCUGCUGUAGGGUCAGUCCUGCUGUAGGGUCGGUCCUGCUGUAGGGUCGGUCCUGCUGUAGGGUCGGUCCUGCUGUAGGGUCAGUCUGUCAUCUUCACGUUGUCCUCUCUGUAUCCUCUGGUUUUAGGGAGGAGGAUGUCGCCACGGUGAGGACCCACAGAAACCAGCUCUGUGAUUGGCUAGGAGUACAGAAGCCCCAACUCGUUGCCAAGGGUCCUGUCCAGUAGGCCCGGGGGAAACUAUUCUCAGCAGGAACUAAAGAACUGUAGCACAGGAUCCUUCAGGAUGGCAUUCUGUGUGACGCAUCACAAAGUACAGCUGCACUUCUAAAAGGUCACAGCCUUCAGUGAUGUUCCAAGACCCACACACUUUGCUACAGUACAUUCUAAUUGGUAUGCUAGUAUGGUCAUGAAAUGUACGGUAGUCUGGGUUCAUCUGGGAUUCGUCUGUCUGUCUGUCGAACGUCUUUAAAUGAGAAUGUCCACUGCAAAAGUAAAAAAAAGAACAAAAACAGUCUGUCAAUAAACAAACAGAAACUGCA